UUGGAGGGCAAGUCUGGUGCCAGCAGCCGCGGUAAUUCCAGCUCCAAUAGCGUAUAUUAAAGUUGUUGCAGUUAAAAAGCUCGUAGUUGAAUUUCGGGAUUGAUGGGUCGGUCAUGCCCUCGGUAUGUACUGGUCUCAUUGGUUCUCACCUUCUCAGGAACCAUGAUGUCAUUCGGUUGAUGUUGUGGGGAAUUAGGACUGUUACCUUGAAAAAAUUAGAGUGUUUAAAGCAGGC
rnacentral:rRNA from 1 species